rnacentral:rRNA from 1 species
UACGGAGGGAGCUAGCGUUGUUCGGAAUUACUGGGCGUAAAGCGCACGUAGGCGGCUAUUCAAGUCGGGGGUGAAAUCCCAGAGCUCAACUCUGGAACUGCCUUCUAAACUGCAAGCCUGGAGGUCAGGAGAGGCGAGUGGAAUACCGAGUGUAGAGGUGAAAUUCGUAGAUAUUCGGUGGAACACCAGUGGCGAAGGCGACUCGCUGGACUGAUACUGACGCUGAGGUGCGAAAGCGUGGGGAGCAAACAGG